rnacentral:rRNA from 1 species
ACAGUGGACGCGAGCAUCUUUGAUCUUUUGUGGUCAAGUUUUUAAGAGCAUUCGGUGGAUGCCUUGGCACCAGGAGCCGAUGAAGGACGUUGUAGCCUGCGAUAAGCCUCGGGGAGCUGGCAAACGAGCUGUGAUCCGAGGGUGUCCGAAUGGGGAAACCCGGCCGCAGUCAUGUGCGGUUACCCGCGCCUGAAUAUAUAGGGCGUGUGGAGGGAACGUGGGGAAGUGAAACAUCUCAGUACCCACAGGAAGAGAUAUUCCGUGAGUAGUGGCGAGCGAAAGCGGAUGAGGCUAAACCGGGGGUGUGUGAUAGCCGGCGGGCGUUGCACCUUCGGGGUCGUGGGACCCGCUGACCAUCUCUGCCGGGGUGGUGAGGAGUGAGAAAGUCCAGGUGUAGUCGAACGGUCUGGGAAGGCCGGGCAUAGUGGGUGAGACCCCCGUAGACGAAACGCCUGGGCCUCCUUGUGGGGAUCCCGAGUAGCACGGGGCCCGUGAAAUCCCGUGUGAAUCUGCCAAGACCACUUGGUAAGCCUAAAUACUACCUGGUGACCGAUAGCGGACUAGUACCGUGAGGGAAAGGUGAAAAGUACCCCGGGAGGGGAGUGAAAUAGUACCUGAAACCGGAUGCUUACAAUCCGUCGGAGCCUCCUUUGCAGGGGUGACGGCGUGCCUUUUGAAGAAUGAGCCUGCGAGUUAGUGGUGCGUGGCGAGGUUAACCCGGGUGGGGAAGCCGUAGCGAAAGCGAGUCCGAACAGGGCGAUUUAGUCGCGUGCUCUAGACCCGAAGCGAAGUGAUCUACCCAUGGGCAGGUUGAAGCACGUGUAAGAGCGUGUGGAGGACCGAACCCACUUAGGUUGAAAACUGAGGGGAUGACCUGUGGGUAGGGGUGAAAGGCCAAUCAAACUUCGUGAUAGCUGGUUCUCCCCGAAAUGCAUUUAGGUGCAGCGUCACGUGUUUCUUGCCGGAGGUAGAGCUACUGGAUGGCCGAUGGGCCCUACAAGGUUACUGACGUCAACCAAACUCCGAAUGCCGGUAAGUGAAGCGUGGCAGUGAGACUGCGGGGGAUAAGCUUCGUAGUCGAGAGGGAAACAGCCCAGACCACCAGCUAAGGCCCCUAAGCGUGUGCUAAGUGGGAAAGGAUGUGGAGUUGCACAGACAACCAGGAGGUUGGCUUAGAAGCAGCCAUCCUUGAAAGAGUGCGUAAUAGCUCACUGGUCAAGUGAUUCUGCGCCGACAAUGUAGCGGGGCUCAAGCACACCGCCGAAGCUGUGGCAUCCACGCAGACCCUCGCCAGGACUUGAUCCUGGUGCCGGGGCGUGGGUGGGUAGGGGAGCGUCGUGUGGGAGGUGAAGCGCCGGGGUGACCCAGGUGUGGAUCCCACACGAGUGAGAAUGCAGGCAUGAGUAGCGAAAGACGGGUGAGAAACCCGUCCGCCGAAUGACCAAGGGUUCCAGGGCCAGGUUAAUCCGCCCUGGGUAAGUCGGGACCUAAGGCGAGGCCGACAGGCGUAGUCGAUGGACAACGGGUUGAUAUUCCCGUACCGGCGAAGGACCGACCAUACCGAGCCCGGUGAUGCUAACCACCCAACGGUGGCCACCGUUUCCUUCGGGAAGCACCGGUCACCCGCGCGUGGGACCCGAUCCGGUAGUAGGUAAGCGUGUUAACAGGGGUGACGCAGACAGGUAGCCACCGCGUGCUUAAUGGCAAUGCACGUCCAAGGUUGCAGGGCGGGGUGCAGGCAAAUCCGCACCCCAUCAAGCCUCAGGACCGAUGGUGACCCCGUAGGGGG